GUCUACCGUAUCGGGGAAGUCAUGGCGACAGGAACACCAGGCAGGCGGUCACAGCCCAUCCACAGUAGGGAACCAGAGAGCUGAGGGCUGUUGCUCAACUCCACUGUUGUGGGAUAUCCACUGGACAAGACUACUCAGACAUGGGUUUAAACUAAUAGAAAGCCUUCAUCAGCCGACUGGUGACUACACCAGGUCUCACGAUGCCAGGGUAACCCCGAGCCUUUCUCAGGGUGAGCCUUUAAGCACAAAAAUCCUGGAGUAUCCUGGACCGACAAACUCCAGUUAACAAGAACAGCUAAUCAAGCAGAACUACAAAAGCCAAAAGGCAAGACUGUGAGGCAGCAAGUUUGAAAUAACCAUGGUGGCACACCGGCAGUCCCAGCACUCGGAAGGCUGACCCGAGGCAGGGGGAUCCAGAAUUUGAUGGCACUCCGGGAUUCAAGAGAAACCCAUCUCGAAAACAAGGUGAUGUAGGUCCCCUGCUGCUGGACUGGGCCAACAAGUUCAAACCCAAUCAGAACAACGGUUGUGGACUGAGCAGUCUUUCUUCCAAAUAACUGACCCUAAAUUGUGGAGGAAAACUCUUCAAAG